GUAAUAUCAUGUUGAAACACUGGUUCUUAUACAAUCACCAAAGUUAAGCAAUGUCAAGCCUGGUCAGUACCCAGAUGGGUGACCACUUGGGAAUAACAUGUGCUGUAA